GACGAACGCUGGCGGCGUGCUUAACACAUGCAAGUCGAACGGAAAGGCCCUGCUUUUGUGGGGUGCUCGAGUGGCGAACGGGUGAGUAACACGUGAGUAACCUGCCCUUGACUUUGGGAUAACUUCAGGAAACUGGGGCUAAUACCGGAUAGGAGCUCCUGCUGCAUGGUGGGGGUUGGAAAGUUUCGGCGGUUGGGGAUGGACUCGCGGCUUAUCAGCUUGUUGGUGGGGUAGUGGCUUACCAAGGCUUUGACGGGCAGCCGGCCUGAGAGGGUGACCGGCCACAUUGGGACUGAGAUACGGCCCAGACUCCUACGGGAGGCAGCAGUGGGGAAUAUUGCACAAUGGGCGGAAGCCUGAUGCAGCAACGCCGCGUGCGGGAUGACGGCCUUCGGGUUGUAAGCCGCUUUCGCCUGUGACGAGGCGUGAGUGACGGUAAUGGGUAAAGAAGCACCGGCUAACUACGUG
rnacentral:rRNA from 1 species